GAUGUAUUGUUGAGUAAAAAAGCAAGCCAUGCUUCCACAGGAGGCCUACACGCGGCCGCUUGUGCUGCCGCCACGUCUCUAGUGAUCCCUGAAAAGUUCAGCAUAUUUUGCGAGUACUCAACACCAACAUCGAUGGGCGGCGGAAAAUAGCCUUUGCCAUUACUGCCAUUAAGGGUGUGGGCCGAAGAUAUGCUCAUGUAGUGUUGAGGAAAGCAGACAUUGACCUCACCAAGAGGGCGGGAGAACUCACUGAGGAUGAGGUGGAACGUGUGAUCACCAUUAUGCAGAAUCCACGCCAGUACAAGAUCCCAGACUGGUUCUUGAACAGACAGAAGGAUGUAAAGGAUGGAAAAUAUAGCCAGGUCCUAGCCAAUGGUCUGGACAACAAGCUCCGUGAAGACCUGGAGCGACUGAAGAAGAUUCGGGCCCAUAGAGGGUUGCGCCGCUUCUGGGGCCUUCGUGUCCGAGGCCAGCACACCAAGACCACUGGCCACCGUGGCCGCACCGUGGUGUGUCCAAGAAGAAAUAAGUCUGUAGGCCUUGUCUGUUAAUAAAUAGUUUAUAUACAAAAAAAAAAA